UUUAUCCCCAAUGAAAGUAAAAAAUUACUCUACUUUCCUUUCUUCAUUCCUUCAGUCCGAGAAACCCAAAGUCUUUAGUUUCUGCACUUUGCUUUUUUUAUUUUUCUUCAUCCCCCAGAAAACCCACACACAAUCUCAUUAAGAAAAAAAAAAAAUCCAUGCUCCAUCUCCCUGCAUCUCUUACCUCUUCUCUUGCAAACAUAUGAAAGACUAAGGAAAAAUUACGUUUGAGGUGAGCGGUAGUUGUGCAGAGGAGCUUUACUUGGAAAGUUUGCAGCAUCAAAUAGAAAGUGAUCUUAUGCCAAGUGCCCGAUGUGACCAAAGUGAUUCUUAUGUGGCAAGGGAUUGGAAUGAGCUAGGGGUGACAAACUGUGGAAAUGAGACAAAACUCCUAAGUGGAUCAGUCUAUCGAGGCGGAUUGCCCAAGGAAUUAUAUGUGGUGAAAGAUGUAUUAACUGGAAUGAGAAAACAUGUUCAUCUGCUGGACAUAACAACUCUAUCACAACUCAGAAAAGAUGCACAUCCUGGCUUUUAUAAUGGCUUUAGGCGCAUGGACUGUAACCAUUGGUGUAUUGCUGGACUUCUAGAUACUUGGAAUCAAAUUUUUAUGCAUUUCUCAUAAUUGUUAUGCUUGUUCUAGUAUUUUUAGUUUAUAAAAAUGAUCAUACGGUUGCUUA